GUCUAUGGCCAUGCCACCCUGAACAAGCCUGAUGCCUGAUCUCAGAAGCUAAGCAGGGUCGGGCCUGUUAGUACUAGGAAGACCAGGUGCUGUAAGCA
rnacentral:rRNA from 1 species